rnacentral:lncRNA from 1 species
AAUCUGAUAGGAUUUAGUAAUGUCUGUUAGGAUCAAUAAAUUUAUUUCAUAUGCUUCUUACUUUUCAGUCUGCUAGUUUAAUAAUAUCUUAUUUUUUAUUUUGACCAAAUUUAUAAUAUAUUUACAUUCAAAAUUUAUUAAAUUCAUACAUAAUUUUAUAAUAUAUAAAUUAUAUAUAGAUAUAAAAAUCUUAAUUAAUAAUUAAAACAUGAUUACGUUAUUGUCAGAAGAGGUGAUCUUUUAUUACCUCACCUUUCUAUCUAAAAAUUAACAGAAUUUACAAAUACAAAUCUCAAUUGCAGACUACCAAACAGAAGAAAUGUAACUGUAGCAGUUGCAACUGCAUAAAACAAAACUGACUAGGUGUAGUUAUGACUGCAGCAUUUACAACUGCAUGUACUUCCAACUAUACUGUUUUUGUAACUAUAUCCAACCAAACGACCCCUAAGUAAUACAUCUGCAAGAACUGUACGCGUGUGAAUGCAUGGGUCGAACACCUUGUUCAACAAGGUACUUUUAUUUACCUGAGAUGAUGCAGUAGUUUGUGACACCUCUAAAAUUUGAAAUAGUACUACACGUAAGUUAUAAUAAAACUAAAUCUCUUAACCCAGUUUUAGUAUUUUGAGAAUUGGUUAAACUAAAGAGGUUAAGAGGAUUAAGCAUGUUAGAGUUAUAGUAUUUUUAGGAUUGGUGAUCAUCUGAGAAACGAGGUGCCACAAUUGGUAUAAGAGGCGAUCACUAGCCAAAAGUGUGAGAUAAGUCUCGCCUAAGUCAUGAUCAUAUAACAGGUAGAGAAUGUUUAGAUUCAAAAGAUUAAGAGGGUUAAGCAUAUUAGGACUAAAGUAAAUCUAAAAUAAAUAACUCUGAAAAAUGGACGUU